rnacentral:rRNA from 1 species
CUUUAGUGGCGGACGGGUGAGUAACGCGUGGGUAACCUGCCCCAUACCGGGGGAUACCACCUGGAAACAGGUGCUAAUACCGCAUAAGCGCACGGGAGCGCAUGCUCCUGUGUGAAAAACUCCGGUGGUAUGGGAUGGACCCGCGUCUGAUUAGCCAGUUGGCAGGGUAACGGCCUACCAAAGCGACGAUCAGUAGCCGGCCUGAGAGGGUGGACGGCCACAUUGGGACUGAGACACGGCCCAAACUCCUACGGAAGGCAGCAG